rnacentral:lncRNA from 1 species
UAAUAAUUCAAAUAGAAUAUAACUAAUAGUCCAAAAAGAAAAUAAAUAGUAAGUGGAUGUCCGCAUCAGAAAAACUUGGAUCUGUUCUAUAGUUUUAUGACUCCUACUCUUGUUUGAUUAUUGUAGUUUCUAUUUUUCCUGUAAAUGAACUUGGAAGUUAGAUCUAUUUUUGUUGUUUAGAGCUUGCUUGGCCAAGCUUAAAUAAAACUAGAAGUUACUUCAAAUAACAUUUUUGUUUUCAAACUUGUUCUUUUAUGUUACUAAUUUUUGUUUCCAAACUUGUUCUUUUUACACGUGGCUUGCUAAAAUAAUUAAUAACCUUGCUGAUGGAUUUGGAAUGAGCUUUUGGUAAGUGACUAACAUUACAGUUUAGUCCUGUCUUCUGCAGAUUAUUGACUUCAGAUUCUAUUGGUAAUAUUUUCGGCUUCUUGCGUACUGGAGAUAUGAUGAAUUAUCCCAUCCGUGGUUGAGAAUCAACUUUCUUUUUCUGGAAGAUGGGAUCCCAUUCUGCUGAGAUAAUGAAUUCUUGGUCAGUUGUGUCAGUGCAAGUCCUAUGCCGAUCCCAAUACUGGCGUUUGCCCUGGAAUUUCCCACUGCAGCCAAGAACCUGGAUUUGGACACUUGCAGACAAAUGUGAGAUCCUCGGGAAGUCUGCUUCUCUAGCAAAAAAUGGAACCAGCUCAAAGUUGAGCACAUCUGCCAUUAAUUUGGAAGUUAUAUACUUGUGUACAUGGUAUCCUGGAAAUACUAGGAUUUUUUAUGGUUUAGAAUGCCAGUGGGUGAAAGAUCUGUCGUGACUGAAUGUUGUUGUUUAGCUUCUGACUCGGGAGAUGAGUAGAAACAAUCAGUUUUGAAGCCAAGGAUCAAUGGUACAUCUCGAUUUGUCUGUUACCUUGUGAUAAUUCUUGCUCGUGGAAAAGCUAUUAGCUUUUAUGUCAACGUUUGCUUUUAUUUGCUGUCUGAAUCUGAUGUCCUUUUUCAGAGUCGGGCGAUAAUUUGUUGGUGGCAUCCAUUGACUUCUAUAGACGAUGAUUCUCUUAACAAAAUCUCGGAAGAUGCCUCAAUUGUUAUCCGGUAAAGACCAGAUGAAGGUUGUCUAUGUUGGACUGUUCAGUUUCAUCUUGCAAUACAUGUUCAAGAUGUAUUAAUACAUUAUUUUGUUUUGCAUUGUAAAAGAGAAUACUAAUUUUUACUGUUAUUAACUUGGAGGAAAACAUAUUAAUUGUGUUUACAGUCCAAUGUGUAACUCU